ACGCAGGCGGCGUGCCUAAUACGUGCAAGUAGAACGCUGAAGAGAGGAGCUUGCUCUUCUUGGAUGAGUUGCGAACGGGUGAGUAACGCGUAGGUAACCUGGCCUGGUAGCGGGGGAUAACUAUUGGAAACGAUAGCUAAUACCGCUGAUUUAAUUGUCGCAUGAUAAUUAAUUGAAAGAUGCAAUUGCAUCACUACCAGAUGGACCUGCGUUGUAUUAGCUAGUUGGUGAGGUAACGGCUCACCAAGGCGACGAUACAUAGCCGACCUGAGAGGGUGAUCGGCCACACUGGGGUGAGACACGGCCCAGACUCCUACGGGAGGCAGCAGUAGGGAAUCUUCGGCAAUGGGGGGAACCCUGACCGAGCAACGCCGCGUGAGUGAAGAAGGUUUUCGGAUCGUAAAGCUCUGUUGUAAGAGAAGAACAGGGUGUGA
rnacentral:rRNA from 1 species